UCUACACCUGCGUGCGCGUGCGCGGCUGGCAGCCAUUGCUGGCGGGUCCUCGCUCGUCUUCGCUUCUGCGCUCACGUCUUCUGCAUCGACCGCCAUCAGGGACCAGGGGCCAUGCCGGGCUAUUCUGAGGCCAGGUGGACAUCGAAACCGGGUGGAUGGACCCACAGCGUGGAAGGGCUGACCAAACUCUUCUGGAAGAUGUCCUGCCUCGAAAAUACAUCUUGAAAAGAGUAAGGAAGAAAAGACCAUUUUGUUUGUUUAGGGUCAGUACAAACUAUUAAACCCUUAAAACAGUUACAAAAUGCGCCGCAUGAGAAGCCAGAGUUUGGUCUCCAGCACUCAAAUAACACUCCAGAUGUGUCUAGGAAACCCACGGUGUCGGAGCUGGAAGAGAUCUAAGAUGGCACAUGAGUAGUUAUCAGGCUGCUUCGUGGAAUUUGUGACAGGAUGAGGAAACAGACUUAAGAAAGCCAUCUUGGAUGAGGUUUGAAGCCUGCUGUUUGCCUCCCUCUGAAAGGAGUCAGUCGUUCUGGUUCUUGGCCAAAGUUGCUGUGUGUCAGGACAGUGCUGUGUGUGUGGUGAAGUCGUCCCAGACUCCUUCAGUUUUUCAAUAAAGAAUCUGGCUGUGCCUAAGGUUAUUCUGACAUCUGAAUGUAAUAAUCCAUGGAUAUUGGAGGCAAGAAGAUUAUGAGUUCAAGGCCAGCCUGGGCUACAAGAGGCCCAGUUUCCAAA